UUCCCCCCGAAAGGGGCGGGAACGUUUGUCACGAGUCAAGUUCCCGGAUGUGCCGGUCUAACGUCAUCAGGAAUGACGUUCAGAAAGCGAAUUGCCCCGAUGCCCCAGUGAGCGCCAGUGAGUGUUGAGACCGACUGAUCAGUCGCCACGACCAGUGCGUGUGUGUUUUUUUUGUGUUAAUUGGGCGAUGCAGCCUAUGUGUUUUUGUCAUUUGGCACUGCGCGGUUGUUUCGGUUCCUCUUCGCUGUUCCGGUUCAGAUCCGCCCGCUGACAGAAGACCAGCGCAAAUGGACAGAAUGAAGGUUACAGAUGUGAGGUGAGCGCUGGACUGCUGUAGAGAGGUGACAUGAUGAAGCUCCUGCUGCUGGCUGUGUGGAUGGUGUCCUGCUCAUGUGCUGUUAUGCCUCCCACCAACCUGACGGUGGAAUCCCAGAACUUCAACCACACUCUCCACUGGAUCCCUGCUGCGGGUACCCCACCUGGAACAGAGUACUGCAUUUACCUGAGCGAUGACGACAACCAAUCAGACACUCUUCUCAGCGUUACCAGGGCAACGUCACUGCCGGUGUCUGUCUUCAUGAAGGAGGACAUCUAUAAGAUGUACACGCUAUCAGUGCGGGCCAAGAUAUACAACCACACUGGUUGCGUGCCAGGAUAUACAACCAACCCUGCCCAAACCACAUUCGAACCAUACACCAGUAGGAAACAUACACACAUGCACACACAUACACAUACACACACACACAUACACAUACACACAGUCAGACGCACAUAUUAAUUGCCAUAAACACAGACACACACACACACACACACAGUCAAACACACACAUUAUAAGUGCCAUAAACACACACACACACAGUCAAACACACACAUUAUAAGUGCCAUAAACAUCAACAACUUUAUCCAGCGUUGCUUACAGCUCCUUUAGUAGUGUUUAGUUUGUCUGUCUGCAUGAACACACACAGACACUGAGCUGUUCUCUCUCCCUGUGUUAGCAGUGCUAAGUCCUCCUGUAGUGAGCUGUUCUUCUCCCCUGUGUUAGCAUGUGUUAAU